GACGAACGCUGGCGGCGUGCUUAACACAUGCAAGUCGAACGGAAAGGCCCUGCUUUUGUGGGGUUCUCGAUUGGCGAACGGGUGAGUAACACGUGAGUAACCUGCCCUUGUCUUUGGGAUAACUUCAGGAAACUGGGGCUAAUACCGGAUAGGAGCUCCUGCUGCCUGGUGGUGGUUGGAAAGUUUCGGCGGUUGGGGAUGGACUCGCGGCUUAUCAGCUUGUUGGUGGGGUAGUGGCUUACAAAGGCUUUGACGGGUAGCCGGCCUGAGAGGGUGACCGGCGACAAGGGGACUGAGAUACGGACCAGACGCCUACGGGAGGCAGCAGUGGGGAAUAUUGCACAAUGGGCGGACGCCUGAGGCAGCAACGCCGCGUGCGGGAUGCCGGCUUUCGGGUUGUAAACCGCUGUCGCCUGUGACGAAGCGUGAGUGACGGUAAUGGGUAAAGAAGCACCGGCUAACUACGUG
rnacentral:rRNA from 1 species